rnacentral:lncRNA from 1 species
GCAAAGUCAAUGAGGACCUUUACCACAUUGGAAUGACCAUAUCUUGCUGCCAAAUGGAGUGGGAUUUCACCUUUCUUAUUGGCCUGCAAUAACAGUGGUGGACACAUUUCGAGAAUUUUAUCAACAAAAUCAGUGGAUUCUGAUUUUCUACGUUGGUUUUCUAAGUAGACAUGAAGAAUGGUGUUCUCGUCUGGAGUCAAUAACUGAUCAAGGCGGGUUUGAUUUUUCUCAAAGGGACCGAUUUCGCCUGCUGCUGCAGCUUUGAACAAGACUGGAUCCAUAUAGGUCGAUAACUGAUCAAGGCAGGUUUGAUAAUUCUCAAAGGGACCGAUAUGGCCUUCAGCUGCAGCUUUGAACAAGACAGGAUCCAUAUAGGUCGUCAUACUAUUUUGUAGCUUAGAGAAACUCACUAAAUGAAAAGUAAACAAAUGAAGGGGAGGAGAAAUCACUGUGGCACAAAGGUAAUUAAGAUGUUACACUCCUCAACUGAUCACAAGCUGCUGAUUUAUUUGGUUUGUUGCUCCCUAUAGUUAAUUAGGGGGUUUGAAAGUGUGAUAAAUGAUUUUUUAAAUGUUUUUUAUUUAAAAACAUAUUAAAAAAAAAUAUAUUUUUUAAUAUCAGGUUGUACUCCUAUAAUUUACUAUCAGGUAAGUGGCUGCAUUAACCAGCUACUAUACAGAUUGCAUAAGAUUUAGUAUAUAUUUGAUAUUAUAAUUUAUUAUAUUUUUUAAAAAUUAUUUUUUUUGUUUGAAAAUAUUUUAAGAUAAAAUUUUUUUAUUUUUUUAUUUUUAAAAUCAAUACAUCAAAAUUAUUAAAAAACACUAAUAAAAAUAUAAAUUUGAUUUCAAAGAAAAAAAACCCUUUUAAAAAUAACAGUGGUGGACACCUUUCUAGAAUUAUAUCAACAAAAUCAGUGAAUUCCGGUUCACUGCUUUGGUUUUUCAAGUAGACAUGAAGAAUUGUGUUCUCGUUUGAUCACUCUCGAAGGGAUCGAUAUAGCCUUCUUCCGCAUGAGACUUGGUGAAUGUUUGAUAUCUAUGCAUUUUUUUAAAUGUUUUUUUUAAUAUAUUAAAAUAAUAUUUUUUAAAAAAUUUUUAGUUUUAAAAUUAAUAUAUCAAAACCAUUAAAAAACACUAAAAUACAUAUGAAUUUAAUUUAUUUUUAAAAAAUACUCUUAAAAAAUAUAUAAAACCAAAAAGGAAUCUCUUUUCUAUGGUUAGAGAAUAUAAUUUAAUUUCAAACUAAAAGAAAUAAAAAUUUUAAAAAACAUGUUUCACGAUAAGGAGAUUGUGGUCCAGCUCUAACCAUAAGAAAAACGAGUGGACAGAAAUGAUGCAAGUGUAGCAGAGAUCGACCUCAAAGAAGAGAAGCUAGGACAACCAUAAUGAGUACAUUAAAGGGUGUUUAAUAAUGUGUUUGAUAAGGGCUUCUAAAAAAAAUUAAAUUUUUUUUUAAUUUGAAUUAAUAUAUUUUUAAUAUUUUUAAAUUAUUUUGAUGUACUGAUUUUAAAAAUAAUUUUUUAAAAAUAAAAAAAUAUUAUUAAUAUAUUUUUAAAUAAAAAAUACUUUAAAAAACAAUCACAACCACAUUUUUAAAAACACUUUUAUAUUCAAGAGCAUAUGCAAUUAACGAAGGUUGCCAGCCAAAUUUAAAUUUAAUUUAGACUUGGAUCCAAUGCAAGAACUAAAGGGGCUGUUUUGUGCGGAAAAGAAAAAUUAAAGGAAUGGUUGGUGUGCAUCAAUGUCAUAAAUAGGGUUUGUUUUGUUAGGAACACUUUGAAAGUUGCAUUAAUACAGCAAAUGAAGGGGAGGUGAAAACAUUGAAUUUAAGGUAGCAAGUGUAGAGAGUUGUGACUGAAUCCCUUCUUCUUCUUUUUUUAAUUGACAAAGUGGCUAAAUCACCAUAGCUUUAAUUCAAAAACAUAUCAUUCAUUGAAAACAUAUCAUUAAAUAUAUAUAUAUAUAUAUAUAUAUAUAUAUAUUGAUCUUUAUAGUUGAUCAAUAAUUUGUAUAUUAAGCUAACCUCUUAUUUUAGCACUAGCAUACCAAGUAAAAAUAGCACGAUUAAGCUUUUCAUCAUUAUACAAUAAAAAAAUGAAAGCACAAAGCAUAUAUUUCAAGAUUCAACAAAUAAAUUGUAAACACAAAGAAUCUAUGUGAACUUAUUGCCUCAUAAUAAGUGAAUUCUAUAAAUAUUCAUUAUGGAAAUACUUCUGUAAUUUUCAUGACAAAACUUUUGUCAAUAAAAAUUAUGUAAUAAAAAAUCAUAUUUAGGUGGAGAAAGCAAGUGUGACAUAAAAAUACUUUAUUUCUAGAGAACAGAAUCUCCACAAUAUCACCAAUCUUCUACUAGGACAUUAAAGAAAUGUUACAAGGGAUCGAUUUAUGAUUUCUUAACAUUUUCAAAGCUCUUAGCCGCACCAUUCACCACUAUGCAUACAUGGAUGUUGGAUUCCAUUUAGGGAAAAGAUUUUGUACAAUAUAUAUCUUUCAUGAAGAGUGGUAUUAUUAACACAAAGAACAUUAACAAGUUCUGUCAUUUUUACCGUGACUAUAAUCAUAGCAUUGAAAAACAUCAUGCCUUGAAAAGAGAGAUAAAAAGGUUGAUAUCCAAGUGAUAUCUCUAAUAAUUUAUGAAGAAUGAGAUGGAAUUUAAAUAAAUAAAUAAAAAAUCUCCAUAACACAUUACAAAUUUGUAAUAAAUUAUUGCCACCAACAUCUCCACUAAUAGCAAGCAAGGUAUAUCAUUUAAUGACUUAAUUUUAUAUGAAAAUAUUUUUUUUUCUCUACAAGAUAAGUUCAGAGACUACACCCAGUCUCCAUAUAUAUAUAUAUAUAUAUAUAUAAAGAAAGCCAAAGCUACUCUUAGCCAUUGAAAGCUUUAGCCUUGCAAGAUAUCAGUUCUAAGCCACACAAAGCUAGAGCCAAGUUCUACAAGAGACAAGUCCUGGAAAUACAAAUAAAAUAGUCUCUUCCAUUCUACACACAAAAACUCUGCACACUCUGCACUCAUAUAUUUACUAAUUUUAGUAUCAAAGAGUUUUUUAUUGUUUACAAGGGUUUUAUUUUGUAAAAAAGCUCAUAAACCUACCAAGCCCGACCACACCAUCAACCCAGGACGACCAUGAAAAACUCAAUUUUUAUCUAAAUGUUUUUCACAAUUUCAUUACCUAUGUUGUUAGUGUUAAGCCAAUGGUAUGGAAGCCGUAUGCCUGUAAUCUUUCUAAAAGUAUUUGUUUUAGACGAGUAUUCUCGCACUUUGAAUGCAAAGACAUUUACCGGUAGCUAGUAGGGGGCUAACUUGCUAAUACCAAUAUCACCACUAAAAAAAAGAGGGCUCUUUUCUACCUUUCCUUUCUUUCACAUCUUGAUUCGGACUUUGUAGUGGUCCCUGGGCCGACCAUUUCUCCUUGACCUCGCUGUUCAUGGUCACUUCUUCUAUCGUACCAUUUCUUUUUAGCGGUCUUGUCUUAGAGAAAAAAUAUCAUGGCCAUGCACAGGAUAUAUCAAUCAAGUUUUGUCCUCGAUAUGUGACUCACUCAAGUAUAUAUUUAUCUCCAUUCUGUUUCUAUAUCGUAAAAAGAAAACCUUUCACUAAAAGAGCUUUAAGUUAUGAUAGUUUGGUUUUUUUUUUACAAAAACUGGCAAAACUUGUUUUGCUUUUCUUGAGUUUUUAUGGGAUUUUACUGACUUUUCAUAGGUAUUUUCAAAACCUUUUUUUUAGUUUUAUGAGUUUUUUAAAAAACUUUUUAUAUAUCUAGUUAUUUUGAGCCCAAGUUAAUUAACAAUGCAUGCAAGGAGAAAAGUGAAUCCACUAAAGUUAUCGAAAGCAAAAUACUCUAAUUCAACUACCAAUUAAUAAAUCAUCUGCAUGCAACAAUUAUUUAUUGAACUAUGCUGGAUUGGUUUUUUUUUUUUGAAUCAUCACACACAUAAUAUAUAAAAGUUUUUCCUGUAGCCAUUGAUUAACUUUUAGCGUCAAAUACAUGCAUUGACAAAAGAUCUGAAGUUCUUUGAACAGAAAAGCUGGAAUUUAUGCAGUGAUAGUGAUAGAAAAGCAUGCAAUUAUGCACAAUUAUCCUAUUUGCAGUCAGUGCAUCUAAUUCCGACUUGCUUAUUUUAUUUUAUUUUAUUCUUAAUCAAUUAUUCAUUUUACUAUUAUUAUUUUCAAUUUCAUUCUCUUCACAUAAUUUUAACAUGACAGUUGGGCUUGGUUUGCAUGUGGUGCUGUAUUCAUGAUAUAUAAAAAACUAUGAUGGCAUUAAAUUGAUCAUCAAUUUUAUAAAACUUAAUUUAAUUUUAUCAAUUCAAAAAAAUAUAUACAGCACUGACCCAGUUUAACAUAAACAAAAAACCCUUUUUUUCUUUUUUAUUGUUUAAGAAGCAUGGAAAACUAUAGUUUAUUCCCAAAGUUAUUUUUUUCACUUUUAGUCCCUAUAUAUGUUUUCUAGGGUUUCAUGUUAGGGUUUCAAUAGUUAUUAUAAUUUGAAAGGAAGGAGAAAGUUACCAAAAAAAAAAGUAAAUAUAAAAUAUUUGACCAUUCAUAAUUUAACACUAAAAAAAUGAUUUUAUUAUUUAUCAGGUUAGCUUCUGUUCAGAACUGCUAACAAAAAUAAUGAUUAUUUACAACCACUAUUUCUAUUAAUGGUUAUAAAAUAUUAAAUCAAAGUGUUUUAUGUUUUAAAUAUUUUUAUUUUUUCUAGCUAUAUUUCAAAAAACAUUACGACAAAAAAAAAAAAAAAAAACUCUUGAAUGCUACAUGGUAUGGUACCACAAUUAGACCGUGCAAAGAUUUCUUGGUCCCAUAAAUAUUUCUGAUCGGUUAACUUUACUAGUGAUUUAGCAUUUGCUUGGCCUUUAGCAAAUAAUUUCAGGACUGAUUUGAUUUUUUAUCUUGUCUCGUAGCCUUUAUCACGGUGGAAAGUAUGAAUGCACUUGGACAAAAAUAAGAACAAAGACAGAACACAAGUCUGGUCCUCUUCUUUUUCCGUUCACUGGUUUCGGUGCUGUCCCGUCCCCUCUGCUUUUUUGUCCACAGGGCCCAAGUUCAACGUGUUUCGCAAUGCUCAAGACCUCGUCAUCCGCGGAAAAGAAGACUCUAGGGUAGAAUUUUUGUUUUUAUUUUUAAAUUAAUCUUUUAUUAUUAAUUUAAUACAUUAUAUUAAAAAUAAAAUUUUAAAAAUAAAAAAAUAUAUAUUUCAUAAAAAACAUGCAAUCCUGUCUCUCUUUUUUUCAUUUUUUUUGGGGGUGGGGGGAUUUUUUUUUUUUUUUAGGGUUAUAAAACAGAUUGAUGUAGAGUUUAAUUUGAAAUUAAAUUAGUUAAGGAGUUGAUCCGUUUAACUUUUUUUUAUAAAAUUAUUUAAAUUAAGAAUCAAAUCUUGAUAGCUUCUGUUUUAAAUAAAAAUGCGUUGUCAACACAAUAUUAACACAUUUGAUAGAAAUUGAUUUUAAUAAUAUAUAUUUAUAUCUAUAUAUAUUGUUUAAACCACGGCGACUUAGGAUAAGUAAAGGAAUUUUUGUAAUAUUUAUUAAAUAUAAAGGGGAUUUUUAUCAAAUCUUUAAACAUUUAAAUAAUUCAUAUAAUAUUACAAUACUUAAAUGGAAGGUAUUGCAAUUUAUGCUAUUUUAUAUCAUUACUAACAUCAAUUUUUUUUUUUGUUGAAGUCCAUUUGAAAGGAAAGAUUGGACUAACGUCGAGUAUAUAUUUAUCUGCCUUUUUUUUCUAUAUCGUAAAAAAAAACCUUUCAUUAAAAGAGCUUUAAGUUAUAAUAGUUUGGUUUUUUUUUAACAAAAACUGGCAAAACUUGUUUUGCUUUUCUCGAGUUUUUAUAGGAUUUUACUGACUUUGCAUAGGUUUUUUCAAAACUUUUUUUUUAGUUUUAUGGGUUUUUUAAAAACAUUUUAUAUAUCUAGUUAUUUUAAGCCCAAGUUAAUUAACAAUGCACGCAAGGAGAAAAGUAAAUCCACUAAAGUUAUCAAAAGCAAAGUACUCUAAUUCAACUACCAAUAAUAUAUCAUCUAGAUUCAACAAUUAUUUAUUGAACUAUGCUGGACUGGGUUUAAUUUUUGGGUGAAUCAUCACAUACAUAAUAUAUAUAAGCUUUUCUUGUUGCCACUUGCCAUUGAUUAACUUUUAGCGUCAAAUACAUGGACAAAAGAUCUGGAAUUCUUUGAACAGAAAAGCUGGAAUUUAUGCAGUGACAGUGAUACAAAAUCAAGCUAUUAUGCACAAUUAUCCUAUAUGCGGUCAGUGCAUCUAAUUCCGACUUGCUUUUUUAAAAAAAAAAAUAAUAUCCAUAAUCAAUUAUUCAUUUUAUUAUUUUUAUUAUUAUUAAUUUCAUUCUCUUCAAAUAAUUUUAAUAUGACAGUUGGGCUUGGUUUGCAUGUGAUGCUGUAUUCAUGAUAUAAAAAAACUAUCAUGGCAUUAAAUUCAUCAUCAAUUUUAUGAAACUUAAUUUAAUUUUAUCAAUUUAAAAAAAUAUAUACAGUGCUGACCGAGUUUAACACAAACAAAAAAAAACCUUUUUUUUUCUUUUUUAUUGUUUAUGAAGCAGGGAAAAUUAUAGUUUAUUCCCAAAGUUUUUUUUUCACUUGUAGUCCCUCUAUAUGCUUUCUAGGUUUCAUGUUAGGUUUGAUAGUUAUUAUAAUUUGAAAGGAAAGAGAAGGUUAAAAAACAAGUAAAUAUAAAAUAUGUGACCAUCCAUAUUUUAACACUAAAAAAAUGGUUAUAAAAUAUUAAAUCAAAGUGUUUUAUUUUUUAAAUAUUUUUAUCUUUUCUAGCUAUAUUUAAAAUAAAAUAAAAAAAUGAGUCUUGAAUGCUACAUGGUAUAUGGUCCCAGAAUGAGACCGUGCAAAGAUUUCUUGGUCCCAUAAAUAUCUCUGAUCGGUUAACUUUACCAGUGAUUUAGCAUUUGCUUGGCUGGCUGCUUUUGAAUUUUCUUCCCUGCCUUUAGCUAAUAAUUUCUGGACUGAUUUGAUUUUUUUAUGUUGUCUCGUAGCCUUUGUCAACAUGUUCACACGGUGGAAAGUAUGAAUAUAGGAGAGUUUUAUUGGGGUUGUUUUUUAAAUUAUUUUUAUUUUAAAAAAUAUUAAAAUAAUAUUUUUUUAAUUUUUUAAUAAUUAUUUUUUACAUCCGUAUAUUAUAAUAUCUGAAAAUAUUUCAAAAAUAAUAUUUUAAAAUUAAAAAAUUAAUUUUUUUUUAAAAUAUAAAAACAAACAGUAUUUUAAAUAAAAAUAAUAUCACAGACAAAGAACACAAGUCUGGUCCUUUUCUUUUUCCUUUCACUGUUGUUCCGUCCCCUCUGCAUUUUUGUCCACAGACCCAAUUUUAACGUGUCACCCACGGAAAAGAAAACAAGCCUAAUUUUAAUUUUUUUUGAAAUUAUGGGUUGUGAUGCGUUUCUAAACGGUACUUUAUUAUCCCGUCCCCUUUUCGGUAUGCAAAACUGUCUUAGUUUUUCUUUGGGAGUGGGGGGAUUGAUUUGGAGUUUAAUCGGAUUUUAAUUCGAAAUUAAAUUAGUUAAGGAAUUGAUCGUUUAACUUUUUAAAAAAUUAUUUAAACUAAGAAUCAAAUCUUGAUAGCUUGUCUGUUUUAAAUAAAAAUGCUUUGUCAACACACUAUAUUAACACAUUUGAUAAAAAUUGAUUUUAAUAUUAUUUAAUUUCACCGCUACUGUAUAAUAUAAUGAAAGACUAAGGUGAAAUUCUUACCAGUGGUGAUCAGUUUUUGAUUGAUUAGGUUUUUGGUUAAAAAAAAAACCAAAUAUUUUUUUAAAAAAUAUCACAAUUGAACUGUUUGGUUUUUUUAAUAAAAACAGGUAAAACCUGUCUUUUUUUUUUAGUUUUUAUGGGAAUUUACUAAAUUUUCAGUUUUUUUUUUUUUUUUUUUUUAAGUUUUAUGGGUAUUCUUAAACUUUUUAUAUAUCUAGCUAUUUUUAGCCCAGGUUAAUUAACAAUGCAUGCAAGGAGAAAAGUAUAAACAAAAACUUAAAAAAAUAAAAAUAUAUAUUUUAUAAAAAAUUAUUUUCUAGCAAGUAUUAGAAAAAAAUAAUAGCAAAGACAAAGAACACAAGUCUAGUUAUCUUUUUCCUUUCACUGCAGUCCCGUCCCCUCCGCAUGUUUUUUCCACAGAGCCCAAGUUUAACGUGUCAUCCGCGGAAAAGAAGACUUGGGGUAGAAUUUGAGUUUUUUUAAGAAAAAAAAAUAAUAUAUUUUUUAUAUUUUUAUAAAAAUAUUAUAUUAAUAUAUUUUUUUUUAAAAAAACAUUUUGAACGCUCAAGCAAUACUCACUGUCCCGUCCCCGCUGCAGUAUUCUCCAUGGAACCCAAGUUUAAUUCUGAUGCAAUCCUGUCUCAGUUUGUUUGAGGAGUUUAUCGUUUAACUUAAAAAAAAAAUUAUUUAAACUAAUAAUCAAAUCUUGAUAGCUUCUGUUUUAAAUAAAAAUGCUUUGUCAACACACUAUAUUAACACAUUUGAUAGAAAUUGACUUUAAUAUUAUAUACUUAUAUCUAUAUAUAUUGUUUAAACCAAGAAAACAUGCUUAAAUUACGGCGACUUGGGAUACGUAAAGGAAUUUUUUACUAUUUCUGAAAAGUUGUGUAAAAAUUUAUUUUUAAAUUAAGUUUUUUAGGGAUUGAUAAUUGGAACUAGUAGUGUUUAUUAAUCCAAGAGCUGAAAUUCUACUUUUCACUUUUUCACUUUUUGAUGGGUAUUAUGGUUCGGCCAAUGCCAGCCAAAACCCUAAAAAAACUACAUGUGUGCCCCGCUCUCACGCUGGGGCCUAGGAGCCUGGGGAUUUUUAUCAAAAUCUUUAAACAUUUAGAUAAAUCAUAUAUAGUAUUACAAUACUUAAAAGGAAACGUAUUUUAAUUAUAGCAAAAGUUAAAUAGUAUGGAGAAAUUAUUAUAUAUUAAAAGAUAUUUUAUUAUGAAUUGUAAUAAUAUUUUAAUUUUUUAUUUUAUUUUUUUAUUUUUAUUUUUUUAUUUUUUUUGUUGUUUGUGUUUUUUUUUUCUCUUAACAACUAAACUACUCAAUUGUCUUUUUUAUUAUUAUUAUUUAUCAAAUUAGACAUAACCGUUAUACCCAAUUCUCUUAGAUCUGGUUUGGCUAUAUCUAAUUAUUUUAGAUUUUGCAUGACAAUUAAACCGAAGGCUCUUGGGUUUGUCAUGACCACUAAACCCAAUAGCCUAUAAAAAUAUUUUUAAAAAUAAUAAUUAAGAUUUAAGUUUUAAAUACUUUAAUGAUAAUUUAAAUAUUUUUAUAAAAACAAAAAAAAUUAUAAACAAAUUAAUUUAGGAUUUCUGUUUAGGAUACUUUAAGAUAAUUUAAAUAUUUUUUGUAUAAAAUAUUUAUAAAAUUAUUAAUUAAUAUUUUUGUUUAGAAUAUUUCAAGGAUAUCUAAAUGUUUUUUUAUAAAAAAUAAAAAAAAAUUAAUUAGGAUUUUUGUUUAGGAUACUUCAAUGAUAGUUUAAUUUUUUUUUAAUAAAAAAUAACAAAAAUAAUUAUAAUUUUUUAUGAUAAUUAAAGGAUAGUUUAAUUUUUUUAAAAUAAAAAUAAUUUAUAAAGGAAUUAAUUAGAAUUUCUGUUUAGAAUUCUUUAAUGAUAGUCUAAAUGUUUUUUUUUUCAAGACUUUUGGGUUUAACAUGGCUACUAGAUUCAAUUCACUUUAGUAUAGUAUGACUGUCAAACCCAAUAAAUUUAAAAUAUUUUUUAUACUUUUAAUAUCUUUUUAACAUUUUUUUUUAAAAAAGAUAUUGAUCUACUGUGAAGAAUAACCCAAAAAGUUAGUUUAUGUUAUUUUAUAUCAUUAUUAACGUCAAAAACUUUUUUUUUUUCCAUAAAGUCCAUUUGAAAGGAAAGAUUGGAUGAAAUUAGAAAUCACAAGACAUCGUUUGUUUGGCGAAAAAUGAUUUUCUAAAACUAUUUUUUAAUUUUUUUUGUAUUUGUUUGUCAUUAAAAAUGUUGGUCAACAGAAAACACUUUUCAAUUAAAGAAAAUUUUUGCUUAGUUUCAAGAAAAGUGUUUUUUUUUUUUUGGCGGAAAACAUUUUUCAGAAGUUAUGAAAAAAUUAAAAAUAUCAUCUUAUUUACUAAUUGUAUCCAAUUUGGUCCUUCAAUUUUUUAUUGCUAUAUAUAUUUUGUUUAUAAUAUUUAUUUUUCAAUUUUAUCCAUUAGAAUUUGAUUUUUAUAUUAACUUUGAUCCUUAUUUUUAUGAUUAUUAUUUGAUUUUGAUCUCUUAUCAUUUUUUUUAUUGAAAUUUUUUAUCUAUCAAAUUUGAUCAUUCUUUUAAUUGUUACUUAUUUUAUUUAAAAUAAUUUAUAAAAUUAUAAUAAUUAUUAUUUUAAUUUCAUCAUCUUUUAAUUUUUUUAAUCUGUUAAAUUUGAUCUCUAUUAUUUUAAUUAUUAUUUAUUUUAUUUGAGAUAGUUUAUGAAAUUAUAUUUUUUUUCAAUUUCAUUCUCAUUCACCUUUUUAAUUUGUUUCUUAUUAUUUUAAUAAACUUGAAAAACAAUAAAACAUUAAUAAGUUAUUUUCUAGCUCAUUUUCUAUGACAUAAUCAAACACUAAAAAAUAUUUUUAAACUUUUAUUCCAUGAUACUACCAAACAUCGAAAAAUAAUUUACUUUUUUAAAAUUUACUUUUCAAAUAAAAUUACUUUUCAAAUAGAAACUACUUUCCAGCAAAUAAAUGGGUCGAAGUUAAAAAGAAAAGUCAACUUGGUUUUGGACCUUACGACUCGAUCCAUAAUCUGGAUUUUAGACCUAUAAAGCCCACGUUCUGGCCAUUUUGUUGCAAGGCCCAUUAUGCCUAGAAAUUAUUCCCGAGAUGUUAAAAAACGUUGUUCAUGUUAAGAAAAAUAAUCUUUCUAGAGUGGUGAUAUAUAUAUAUAUAUAUUUGCGCUACGGAAAGCAAAGAUAACAAGGUGCAGGGGUGGAUGUGCCAAGACCCAGCAGUGGGAUUUUGGAUCAUCACACAAUAUGCAUUACAUAUAGUGUGUUUGUAUAAUUAACAUAUACAUAAAUUGUUCAUUAUUUUUUAUAUAAAAAAACGAUUCAACCAAGAAAAUUGGUUAAAUUUUGAAUGAAUAUCAAGAAUUAUUAUAUAUAAAAAGAUUUUAAUUUAUAAUCAUUUGAUAAACCUAUAUUAAAUAUCAUAUCAAAUAAUCAUCUAAAUCAAUCAAACAAAAGGUAUAAAAUAGUAUUAUAUAUUUAUAUUAAUUCAAUAUCAUAGGAUUCCAUGCACACAUGUAGACAGUUUGAUCCGAAGAAUGAUGUGAUAUAUACCGUAGGUAAAAGCAAUUAAACUCGAGAUUGGUUUUUUUGCUCAGGUUCCCAGGUAAUAUACUCUUCUUCUUUCUAUUGGUUCUUCUGUAAUUACACACACACACACACUUUUUGCAUCGUAGGGAUGAAGGAAACAACUGGUCAUUACACAUUCCAAUUGGAUUUAGCAUCAGCCCAUUUAUGUGCCCUUCAGGUAAAAAUCUUCACAUUCUUUCGAACAAAUGUUUUUUUCAAAAGUAAAAUAAACUGAGUUACUUUCUCAUGAUUUGAUCGAUCUUUUUUUUCAAUCUGUACGAGAAUUGUGCUUACUUUUUCAAUGAAGAAUAAAAAAAUAAUUCUAAUAAUUGAAUACACAUCUUAUCCCUCUGGAAACUCAGAGAGUGCAAUAUCAUUAUGAAGGAGAGAGUACUUAUUUUCAUUGAAAAUGAUUAUUGUCUACAUUAAUAAGACACACAGAGAGAAUAAUCAUGUGCAUCAACAGUAGAGAGAAUCUUGAAGAGAACAAAGGAGAGUAAAUAUCUAUGUCUUCGAAAACAUUUUCAAAUGCCCUUUUGCCGCGCAGAAUUCUGAUCCUAAUAUCAAAAUCGUUUCCUUUUAUGAAUUAGUUUUGAUUCUUUUUUUGGGGUGCAAAGUUUUUGAUGAAAACUAAAAUACAUGAAAGAUUGUAUGUAAGGUUUUUGUAUAUUUAGACACAUAUAAGAAGAUCUUUUCGCUAAUUAUCGUGUGAUACUAAUUUCUUUAUUUUUUGUAAUUAGGUUUUGUUUUUUCGAUUCAUAAAUGUUUUUCUACAACUGGGAUGCGCAUAUAUUACCAUGCAUGGUUUUUUUAAGAAAAACUGUGAAAAUUAAAAUAAAAAAUAUAUUAAUUUGUAAAUUUUCAGUAAAUAUAUUCUUUUUAGUACUCACAAAAUUAAAUAAAUUCAAUUAAAUAAAAUUUCAAAAUAUAUUUUAUAUUAUUUUUUUUAACUAAUAACAGGUAUAACAAUCAAACACUAAUUUGAAGUAAAAUAAAAAAAAAUAAAAUCAGUUACAUUACUUCUUCAUGAGAGAAUGAAAAGAACAGGAUCCGAUGGAAUCGCCAUAUAUCAUGUGAAGUUUACAAUUUCCACCACCGGUUCCAACGGUCAAGUGAAAUGAGUUUGUAAACUUGCUUUGCACUUCUAUAUUAUGUAAUUAUUUAUUUUUGUCAAUAUUUAUUAAUACCAGGCUGCAAAGUCAAUGCUCAGAGAGGAGAAUGAUUAACUAUGUGCACGCCCUUGCAUUAUGAAUUUGUCUAUGACGACGUCCUCUUUAACAUGGUAGAGUUUAAUUUUCUUAGAUAAUUAAUUAAUUAAUUAAUUAAUUAAUUCUCUUUGGUCUUUCCUUCAAGAUCCAACAUCCCAUUUGCAAAAUAAUUAUAUGAAAAGAAAGUCGGUCCAAUAUUAAAUUAUAUAAUAAGUUACAAGUCAAUCAUUACCAUUAUUUUAUCAAAUUACAUGUUAUAUUUAUAGAGAGCAUAUAGGCCCUUGUUUGACAUAUUCAUACUAUCAUACACUUCAACUCAUUUGUUCUUCUCCACAAUCAAAUACAGGCUUCAGCAGAAAAAGUUAUAAUGGCGGUAAGCGUGUAUACAUUUAGUGGAUGAAAUUAACCGCAGGUUAAUUAAAAAGAGCUUUCUAUUAAUUAAUAUUUUCUCGUAUCAUAUUACAACUGAAAGGAAAGAAUGGCACACUUGUAUUGAAAAUUUUCGUUGUAUUUUACCCAGUCGAUCAUAGAAAUGAGAGUGCAUAUGGAUUGUGCUCGAUGCGAGAGCAAGAUGAAAAAUGCUCUGGAAAAAGUCAAAGGUAAGAAACCACCUCCACUAAAAACUUUAUGCAAGCGACAAUUUUCUUCAUAAUCAUCCCUUUUUUUUCAUGAAUUAUUUUCUAUGUUCCUCUCUUUUUAAGAUUUCCUUUGGACAUAUUUUCUUGGACUAUAUCUUAAACUUUUGUAUUUAUACAUAUACACACACAGGCGUAGAUGACAUAGAUAUAGAUAUGAGGUUGCAAAAGGUGACGGUCAUAGCACUACAAGAUUUCACAGUUUUACCGACGGAAAUAUUCCGUCGGUGUGUGACAGAACGUUCGUCGGUAAAGUAUUUACCGACUAUAUUACCGACGGAAUACUCCCGUCGGCAUACCUUUUGUCGGUAAUUCCACAUUUCGUCGCUAUAUCCGUCGGUAAUAAAAAAAACACAUUUACCGACGGCCUGUGCGCGCCAAAAAAAAAAAGUUUCCCUCUUGGAAUAUACCGACGGAAUACAUUCCGUCGGUGUUAUGUAAAUACCGACGGAAUAACUCCGUCGGCAAAAGUGUCGGUGAUAUUUCAUACCGACCGAAUAAAUCCGUCUGUAAAUUCAUCGGUAUUUUUAUACCGACGGAUUAUUUCCGUCGGUGAAUAUGUCGGUAUUUUUAUACCGACGGAUUAUUUCUGUCGGGGAGUAUGUCGGUGAUGGGAUGGCAUACCUCAGACACUGUCCAAUGCCGACGGAUUUAUUCCGUCGGUAAAUCACUGUGUAAUUUUUUUUUUUUUAAUUAUUUAGAAAAAAUAAUUUAAAUUAAUAGUAAUACAAACCAAUUAUGCAAAUAAAAUUUAUAUUAAGCAACAAAAACUCAAAGUUAAAUAAUAUUCAUUACAAAAUGAAUGUGUUUUAAAAAAAACAAUUAAUAUAAAGGUGGAGGAGGAGGAGGGUGGGGGUUAGGCGGCCAAAAAGGAUUAGGCGCACAUGUUCCGCCUUGUGUCAUGUUCAUGACCAUUUGACGAAGCUCUUCAUAGGCCGCUCUUUGUUGUUCAGACUCUGCUCUGCGUUGUUCGUCCGCCAAUCUGUGUUGUUCGUUCGCCAAUCUUUGCUCUUCUUUGAGUUGUGUGUACGCCUCUGAUAGGUGGUCGCACCUUUGCUGCAAGGCCACAAACUCCUUAGAUUGGGAGCUCGAUACAGAUUGGGAGCUCCCACCGGUUGAAGCAGUACCGGUCGACCGCAACUUGGCAGCGGUAGUGUUGGAGAGCCCGUAAACCCGAUUUUUAUCGGGUCCACCUGACGAUCCAGCCUCCAUCCACAAAUCCGGAUCGAAUUCCGGAUGGGUCGAAGGAUCAUCCCCGUAUCUCUCCCUCAACCGAUUAUUAUAGGUCUCCUGAAAAAAAAAAUCAUAUUCAAUUCAAUAAACAUAAUAAUAACUUACAAAAUAAAAUGGUUAAACAAACACACCACAAACUGUUGAGCACGGUUGUCAACGAACUGUUGCGUCCCCUUUUGGCGGUCAUGACUCCGCACGUGCGUCUCCACAAACAGCUCCAUAGGGCUCCGCUCACGUCCAAGAGACGUAGCCUAUAUAUAAUGAAAAAAAUGUAUUAACAACAAAUUAAUUGAACGAUAUAUUUCAUUUAAAUUAAUCUUACCAUCCGUUUCGCAUGUGCAGCAAACGGAACGGAGCCGCCGGUGUGCGUUGUAACCGAGCCAUGAAUUUGCCGAUUCCGGUUGCCGGCACCGGACUGUGAGCGUCGAGUGAACCGCUCAAACGUCACGUGCUGAAGAUAGUGCGGCCAUAUAUCUUCCGGGAUGUAUAUUGGUUUGAAAUCCCUCCAAACCGCAACAUCGUUCCAGCCUUGUAACCCCUUAUCCCUCGCUGUUUUUUUUGCUUUUUUCUGGGCGUCAUACCAAAAAUCACGCAACCUAAUUCACGCACGAAAAAAUUACAUUUCAAAACAUAAAUAAUUAUGUAAAAAAAAGUCGUAUUGUUUUCGAUGUUACCUAAUUGCCGCGUGAUUUUCCCACACCCUCCUCACAACACUAUCAUGUUCAUCGUCCCAGCAGAAUCGAUGCUGUAUAUAAAAAAAUAAUUUUUUAAAAUGUUAAUAAUUUAUUUACAAUUAUAACAUGAAUUUAUAAUUAGAAAUAAGCUGAAAAUUAUAUAUUAACACGAACCUCAAAUCUACGAAACCAUGCAUUGAUUUGAGGCAUCCAUUCAGGAUGUCUGGAUAUCUGACUCCAUUGAAACAAUGGAAUCUCCAUCGACGCUUUAAACGCCGAUGAUAUUAAUCGGGCGGCCUCAAUGUUGUGAACCUGAAAGAAAUGAAAUUAAUUUGUGAUUACUUCAUAAAUUAUGUUUUAAAUUUGUUUUUUUUAUAUAAAAAAACUAAAACAUUAACAAACUUACAUUGAAAGAUCGUCCUUCCACUGUGCCUCGAACUGGCGGGUAAAUUGAUUCCGCUUCGAAGGCAUGCCGCGUCUGCGAUGUGAAACAUCGCUGGAAGAGGCAGCAUCGGUUGACGGCGCAGGUGUAGGUGCCUCUUCUUGAGAGGCACCUAAGGAAACAUCAUCAUCGCUGCUAGACGAACUUGAUUCGACUGACGACCAGCUCUGGUUUUCAUUUGCGCAUCUAAACAAUUUUAUAUUAAUAAUUGUAAAAUAAAAUUCAAAAGUUAAAAAAAAAUCGGCAGCACCUCCCCUAUACUGGAUACUACCCAAAUCCACAAACCUGCAAAUAUUAACAAUAGCCACAACCAAUCGAACCAAUCUAUACUAAUUAUUCCAACAUAUUCAACUAUUAAUCCUAAGAUAAAUUCAACGUUAACAAUUACAAUUCACAAAUUAAUCAAUAAUUAUAUUCAAAACAAUAAAAAAUAUAACAAAAAAUAAAUUCAAUAAAUUCAACAAAUUAUACUUCAACAAAUUAACAAUUACAAUUCAACAUUAACAAUUGUAAUUCAACAAAUUCAAAAAAAUUCAAAUAUUCAACUUUAACUAAUUCUAAGUUAAAUUAACUAAUAACAAUUCUAACACAACAACAAAAAAUAUUCAAUAAAUUCAACAAUUAAAUUCAAUUAUUCAACAAUUAAAUUAACAAAUAUUCAACAAAUUCAAAAAAUAUUCAAAAAAUUCAAUUUUAACUAAUUCUAAGUUAAAUUAACUAAUAACAAUUCUAACAACACAACAACAAAAAAUAUUCAAUAAAUUCAACAAUUAAAUUCAAUUAUUCAACAAUUAAAUUAACAAAUAUUCAACAAAUUCAAAAAAUUCAACUUUAACUAAUUCUAAUUUAAAUUAACUAAUAACAAUUCUAACAACACAACAACAAAAAAUAUUCAAUAAAUUCAACAAUUAAAUUAACAAAUAUUCAACAAAUUCAAAAAAUAUUCAAAAAAUUCAACUUUAACUAAUUCUAAGUUAAAUUAACUAAUAACAAUUCUAACAACACAACAACAAAAAAUAUUCAAUAAAUCCAACAAUUAAAUUCAAUUAUUCAACAAUUAAAUUAACAAAUAUUCAACAAAUUCAAAAAAUAUUCAAAAAAUUCAACUUUAACUAAUUCUAAGUUAAAUUAACUAAUAACAAUUCUAACAACACAACAACAAAAAAUAUUCAAUAAAUCCAACAAUUAAAUUCAAUUAUUCAACAAUUAAAUUAACAAAUAUUCAACAAAUUCAAAAAAUUCAAAAAAUAUUCAAAAAAUUCAACUUUAACUAAUUCUAAGUUAAAUUACCUAAUAACAAUUCUAACAACACAACAACAAAAAAUAUUCAAUAAAUCAACAAUUAAAUUCAAUUAUUCAACAAUUAAAUUAACAAAUAUUCAACAAAUUCAAAAAUUCAAAAAAUAUUCAAAAAUUCAACUUUAACUAAUUCUAAGUUAAAUAACUAAUAACAAUUCUAAACAACAACAAAAAAUAUUCAAUAAAUUCAACAAUUAAAUUCAAUUAUUCAACAAUUAAAUUAACAAAUAUUCAACAAAUUCAAAAAAUAUUCAAAAAAAAAAAGGAACGAAAUAUACAUACCUUAAUAAUGUGUCAAAUUCAAAACUUUAUCUACAUUGCAACAAAAAACACCAACACAACAAAAAUAAAAACAACUAAAAAUAAAAUAAAAUAAAAUAAAUUAGAAAAAAAACACAUACCUUUUAAUAUAAUGAAGAUUUACAACACCAAAUCUUGCUAGAGAUUAAAGGUGAAAGUGUUUAAGGAUUGAGGGGGAAAAAAUGAAAAAUCUAGGCUGAAAAACGCAGGAGAAGAGAAGAAGCGGCGGGGGUGGAACUUAUAGGUCAAUUUUACCGACGGAAUCCCCGACGGAAUUAACAUCCGUCGGUAAAAGGUCAAAAAUCCGUCGGUAACAGGUCAAAAUUCCGUCGGUAUUUUUCGAAUUUCGCCCCGAAUUUUUAAAAGCCCUCCAAAAUUUUCGCAGUCCGUCGGUAAUCUGACAAGUUCAGAGGCGCAUUAAUUAAUGCACUUUGGGAAACGCGCGGUCCGUCGGUAAUUUUGUUGGUAAAAUGGGUAACCGACAAAUUACCGACGGACCUACGCCGUCGGUAAUCCCGUCGAUGGUGGUGUUAUGUUUUCGAGCUUACUGUGAGAUGCCGACGGAUUUUAUUCCGUCGGCAUGGCCGUCGGAUUUUAUUCCGUCGGCAUGGCCGUCGGUGAUUGUGGCAUUUUGUUGUAAAUAUUUUCGAACUCUCUGUGAGAUACCGACGGAUGGUGAUCCGUCGGUGAUUGUGGCAUUUUGUUGUAAAUAUUUUCGAACUCUCUGUGAGAUACCGACGGAUGGUGAUCCGUCGGUUGGCGUCGGUGAUUGUGGCAUUUUGUUGUAAAUAUUUUCGAACUCUCUGUGAGAUACCGACGGAUGGAUCCGUCGGUAUGGACGUCGGUAAGUUUGCAUUAUGCAGGAAAGGUUGUCUUUGUAUUGCCUGUUUACCUUCCUGCAAAACUUAACUGAUAAACUGUCCAUCACAUAAAACAAUAACCACAUUGCUUAAACAUAAAUAUUUUGUUUUACAAAAUACAUCAUCAAUAAUCUAAAUUACAUGAGACAAAUGUUUUUACAUAGGGCUUCAUUUUCAUAAUUAGUCGGAAUUUUCUUCUUCUUCCUCAUCAAUUGAAUUGUCAUCAUCUUCAUCGCAAUCUUCAAUAUGGAUAUCAUCUUCUUCAUCGACAUUUGCUUGUCCGCUAGAGCUGAGAACAACAUUCAACUCCUCUCCGUCAAUAUCAACAAGACUAUCAUCGAGAACUCGAAAAUUUGAAUUUUCUUCCAAUUCAAUCGAAGGAGCAACUCGAUAUGGUUCAACCAACUCACGAACUUGAAAGACUUCAUCUCGCACACUUGUGUCUUCGUUCUCAUCCUGAACAACCUCGACACGACCCCGUGGUUUCGUUUUUAAAACGGACAACCAAUCAACUCUUGAACGAUCCUUUCUAAAUGAAGGGGUGUAUGUGUAAUAAACUUGUUGACAUUGCUUUGCGAAAACAAAGACAUCGUUUAUGUUGCGGAGUCUAGCUUUUGAGUUGAUUUCGACCAGACCAUGGUGCGGAUCAACUCUGAUUCCUCUGUCCGUCGUGUCAUACCAAUAGCAUUUGAAUAAAAACACUUUAUUCUGCUCGCUAUGAUAUUGCAGUUCGACGACCUCUUCUAAUCUACCAUAGUAGUCAACUUCUAACUGGCUACUUGUGGAUCCCUUAACACAAACACCGCAGUUGUAUGUCUUUCUUCCUUGCCCGUAUUCUUCAGUAUGGAAAACAUAUCCAUUGACAAAAUACCCGUUGUAGCACUUAACUUUUCUUUCAGGGCCGAGGCUUAGUGAAGACAAUGACUUGGGCGCACUCCUUCCCAUUUGAUAAACCUUGUAAAUAUAUGUAAUUAAAUGUACAUCAAUACACGGUAAAUGAACGAGAAUCUCGUAAUGACAUGCAUACGUUAGAAUGAGUUUGUGAUAGUGCUUACAUGUGUUCUGAACCAUGUGGCAAAUUGUUCAUCUUGUAAUUGAAAGAUCUGGGAUUCGGUCAGCUGCGAGUUAUUGGAGAGCAAAUAUUGUCGAUGUUGCCUGCAAGUGAUAAUGAGUGUAUGAUAUUACAAUAUAUAAUUAACAGUAUAUUACUGACAAAGUUUAAUUAGUAUUACACAUAUAUAGACUUACUGAAUAAAUGGUCUCAGCUCAUCACAGUUAAAUAGAACAUAGUUGUGUGCUUGUUUGAAUUCUAUUUCCGACAAAUAUCUUCCUCUUACGGCAUUUUUAGGUGUGGGUCGUCCAGUAUUGGAGAAUAUUGACAAGUUCCCACUGGAAGGCACUUCACCGCCAUCGUCAUGCCGUGGAACGCGAUUGAUUCUUGUUCUCAGAUGAGGUUCGAAAUAGUACGAGAUAAAUGUUGAUAUCUCUUCAACAAUAUAGGCCUCAGAUAUCGAAGCCUCAACAUGCGCCUUGUUCUUAACCUUUUUUUUUAGAUUAAACAAGUACCUGCAUUGAAGUACAAUUCAAGUAUUUUCAAAUAAGAAAAACAUAGAAAAUACUUUAAGAUAUGAAUUCCAUUGCAACUGUAAUAUCUCACCGUUCGAAUGGGUACAUCCAUCUAUACUGGACCGGUCCUCCAGCUUUUGCCUCGAACGGUAGAUGUAUAGGGAGAUGCUCCAUUGAGUCAAAAAAUGAAGGAGGGAAUAUCAUCUCAAGUUUGCAUAGUGUCUCGAUGAUAUUCGUUUGAAGCAUCUCAAUGUGCUCAACAUUCAUCUUGCUGGAGCAUAUAUCUCUGAAGAAAUGACUGAUCUCCGUUAGUGCAUCCCAUAUUCCCUUUGGCAACAAAUCACGAAAAGCUAAUGGGAUGAGUGUUUGCAUAAACACGUGGCAGUCAUGGCUCUUCAUUCCAUACAAUCUGCAGUCCUCUAUGUUAACAAGCCUUGAUAUGUUCGAUGCAUGUCCAUCCGGGAAACGCAGACUCUUAAGCCAUUUGUAGACUAGCAGUUGUGCGUUUUUCUCUAACACGAAGCUUGCCCUUGGUUUUGCAACCCGUGACUCGUCAUAAACCAACUCCAUAUUUUUACGGUUACAGUAUAAAGCUAUAUCCAAUCUAGCCUUCAUGUUGUCCUUUGUCUUCCCCUUCACAUCCAUGACGGUGUUGAAAAUAUUCUCAAACACGUUCUUUUCGAUGUGCAUGACGUCAAGGUUAUGGCGGAGAAGAUUAGUCUUCCAAUACGGAAGCUCCCAAAAGAUACUUCGCUUUACCCAAUUAUGGGUCAAACCAAAACCAGGAAACUUUUGCUUACCUGAUUGAAGGCCAAACACAAUGUCACCGUACUCUGAUACAACAUGAUGCAAUUCUUCACCAGAAAGACGGGGAUGCAACAUCUUUUUCAACUCUACCAACAAAGAAAUCUUUUCUGUUCUUUCUGAACCUGUGAUUAAGUGGCAAGAAGCGACGGUGACAGUCAAAAAAAGAAGCUUUACCUCCGUUUGCUAGCGUGAAUGCCUUGUUGUUUUCCAUGCAGUAUGGACAUGCGAGUUUCCCAUGCGUGCUCCAACCAGAAAGCAUUCCAUAAGCUGGAAAAUCACAUCAUCAAAGCCGAGGAAAUUUUGUUUCCUCGAUAUAUCAUAAGUCAGAGAUCCGGAGGACCACAACUGCGCCAGCUCAUCUAUCAACGGUCGAAGACAAACAUCUAUAUUCCGCCCCGGGCUGCUUGGACCGGGUAUGACAGUAGAUAGAAACAUGAACUCCGGCCUCAUACACAUUCCCGGUGGCAAGUUAUAAACUGUGAGAAUGACCGGCCAACAAGAAUAGGGAGCAGCAAAUGACCCAAAUGGGUUGAACCCGUCUGUACACAACCCAAGUCGAACAUUCCUUGAUUCAGCAGAAAAGUCAGGAUGAACACUGUUAAAGCGUUUCCACGCUUCGCCGUCAGAAGGAUGCACCAUCACACCAUCAACGACAUCGUGUGUUUGGUGCCAUGUCAUGUGCUCAGCAGUCCUUGGUGACAUAAAUAACCUCUGCAGUCUAGGUGUGAUCGGGAAAUAUCUAAGUUUUUUAUAUGCCACUAGAGUCUUCCCCCUGCCAGUUCUGGGUUUGUAACGGGAAUGCCCGCAUGUCAUGCACUCGGUCAUCACAGCAUUUUCAAGGUAGUAUAACAUGCAGAAGUUAGGGCACAUGUCAAUUUUCUGGUAUCCUAAACCGAGGGGUUUCAUCAUGGACUUCGCAGCAUAGAAGUUCUCUUUGAGCCUGUUCCCUUCUGGUAAAAUGCUUCUUGCCCAAUCAAUAAUUUUGUCAUACCCGGCCUCACUCAACCCGUGAUCUGACUUGAUGGUGAACACCUGUGCCACAGCCGAUAAUUUACUGUGGUUUGUGCAGCCAUCCCAUAAUGGUUCGUCAGAAUCUUUCAACAAAUCAAAAAACCUAGCUGCCUCUGCAUUAGGUUCUUCUUCUACGAUUGGACAUUGAUUGACAUUAUCUUGAUUCAUUCUCAUUGCAUCCAUAACCAUGUUUCUGUAAGGAUUAGUGUUGUCAUUUGCCGCUUCAUGCACGUUGCUAGCACUAGAAGUUGACCCAACCACCGUUUCUCCCAUUCUCCUAUUACUAACAAAUACCUCUCCAUGUGCAUACCAACACUCGUAAUCCUCCACAAACCCUUUGUGUAGAAGAUGCAUCAUUACAACAUCUGGAUGCAGAUACUUUUUAUUUUGACACUUCCUGCAUGGACACCUAAUACCGCCUCCAGUAAAAUUUCUGGGAAUAGAUGUUGCGAAAUUAAUAAAACCCUGAACCCCGUUACAAUAAUCCAUCCUCCGCAAUCCUUGGGGUGAAUCUAGAUACAUCCAUGAACGAUCAUCCAUGACUUCUAUCGAACCUCUAUAAAAAGGACCCAUUAAUUAAGCAAGCUCUUAAUUAUUUCAAAACACAACAUGUAAUUCGGUAAUUCUACAAAUUAAGUUUUAACAAUUUUCAAACAAAUACAAUCUUACAAAAUCUAAAACAAACCAUAACAAGUAUAAAAUUAUACAUUCAUAUACUACAAGUUUGUUUGAGAAAUAACAAUAAAACAUGUACAUCUACUAAAAAAAAAACAAUACAUAUACUAAAAAAACAAUAAAAUUGACAUUUAAAUGUUAAAAUUUUAAAAGAUAGAAUUACUUACAAAAAAUGAUAAAAUCCGUCGGUAAAUCAGAACACGGAUGCUGUGACCACAAAACAAAUACAACUUGUUGUGCUGAGAUGAGGAAGAUUUUGUUUUGGGGCGAGGGGGGGCUGGUUAUUUUGCAGAUGGGGAGGGUUAGGAUUAGGAAGAAGAAGGAGAAAUGGGGGAGAGAGUGUCGGCAGAGCCAUAUAUUCACUUUUGCCGACGGACUUACCGACGGUUUAUCCGUCGGUGAAUCCGUCGGCAAAACCGUCGGUAAUUCUGACGGGCAAUCGACACGUCACCGCACGGACCUGCUGUUCAAAUCCCUCGGUGAUUCCGUCGGUAUUUUUAACGGUGCACUCGUCACGUCACUGGUACUGAUCUGGCAUUUCAAAUCCGUCAGUGAUUCCGUCGGUAUUUUUAACGGUGCACCCGUCACGUCACUGGUACUGAUCUGGCAUUUCAAAUCCGUCGGUGAUUCCGUCGGUAUUUGUUGACGGAAUAGGUCCCAUCACGCGUACGGGCCCCAAUUUUUAAUUCCGUCGGAAAACUCACCCGCCAAAACCUCCGCGCCACUGCCCGCCCUUUUUUCAUUAAUUCUGAAUUUUCGGUCGGAAAUUACCGACGGACGUCGUCCAUCGGUAAGUACCGACCGAAUUACCGACAAAUAUUGUCCGUCGGUGAUAUCGGCCGAAAAAUACCGACAGAAAAAAUUCCGUCGGUAUGUCCGUUGGUAUUUAGCGAUUUUCUGGUAGUGUAGGAUGGGCUGACCAAAAAAAGGUUCUAAAGACAGUUCGUAAGACAAGAAGAAGAGCUGAGCUCUGGCAAUUACCUUACAAUCCACAACAUCAUAGCUAUUCUGACCAUUACUAUAACCAACACCAAGUUAACGGUCCACUUACUUACUAUGCUCCUCAGCCUUCCUCUUCUUACAAUUACUACAAGCAUGGAUAUGAUAGCAAUUAUCAUGGUUAUUAUCAUCAUCCUGUGCAUUCCUCCAUCUUUAACCACCAGACAGGAGCAACUUUCAGUGAUGAAAACCCUCAUGGUUGUUCUAUAAUGUGAACAACGUAGUAUAUAUAUAUAUAUAUAUAUAUAUAUUAUUCUUACUAUUUAUGUAUUUAUCCUGCUUUGUUUUUCAUGUACUAAUUUUCUUUUCACUUUAUGUUUUGUUAAACCUUGUUCACAUGAAGCUAUAAAAUAUAGACAAGAAUUGCCUUUUUUUCCAUUCAUUUUGCAACUUAUAAAUUGUUUUAUUCUGAUUUGUGCCUAGGCAUGGUAUUGUCUACUGAGAAAACCGAGCUCCAUUGAUCUUUUCUUUUUACUAAACUAAAUCGCCACCUGUUGCAAUUAAAAUUUUGAUCAACAUUAAUAUCAUUCGGAUAGGAUUAGGAUGUACUCUUCCACAAACUCUAAUAAAUCUUUUCCAAAGAAGAGAUGCCUUGGAAUGUUUUAGAAAUGGGAUAAUAUUCUCAUAUGCAUACCUAACUUAUUCGCUAUUAUCCUUUCUCAGUUGUGUCCCUAAACUAUAUAUUUAAGCAAUUAGGUCCAGAAUGUAUCUAGGAAUUAUCAAUCUGAUCCUUUCAUCCUCAAAUAUACUUUGUAGUCAUCUUUAGGUGUGGACUCGGUUGAGAAAAUUCUUAAGCAAUUUUUUUAUGGACAAAUCCAAUUGAGAAUUCUUGGGACCAGUUGGUUGACAGUUAUAGUUGGGUUAAGGAUCAAAUUUAGAAAAGAAUUAGAGAUAGGGGACUAAAAUUAUGUUACCCAGGAACCCCAUAAAAAUUAGGGAUGAAAACUGUCAGUGAAUAUAAAUUAUAUCUUAUGACCUCACUUAACAACUUAAAGUUUUAAAUUGAGAUGAUUUUUUUAUAUGAUAUCAAAACCUUGAUGACCAAGCGGUUACAAAUUCGAAUUUCACCAUCCUUAUUUAUUUGAUAAAAAUUAAGCACAAUGUACUAUGGAUUUGUGUAAGUUUCAAGCUCAAAGAGCUUUCACUUAAGGGGGUCUUAGAGAAUAAUAUAAAUAAUAUCUUAGGAACUCAUGUAGCAGUUUAUGUUAUUAAGUUGGGAUGAUUUUUUAACAUGGUAUAAGAGCCUUUAUGGCCAAGCAGUCACGAGUUCGAAUCUUACCAUCUUCAUUUAUUUGAUAAAAAUUAAGCACAAGGUAGUGUGAGUCUGUGCAAGUUUCAAGCUCAAAGGACUUUCAUUUGAGGGAGUGUGUUAGAGAAUAAUAUAAAUCAUAUCUUAAGAUCUCACCUAACAAUUUAAAUUUUUAGGUUAAAAUGAUUCUUUGACAAAAAUAUCACCACUUAACAUAUAUUAUACUAGGAAUCCUCUCAUUUAAUUGAGUUUGGUUUUAACCCAGUUUGAUUAGGAUCCAACCUAGUGUGAAUAUAACUUAACUCGUAUUUAUUUUUUAGCAUACAAAUGAGUGUGUGGUUCGCCCAAUUAAUACCCAACUAUGUUUUAUUUUUAUUAUUAUUUCCUAAGUAUUCUAAGAAUUUUUGUGACUUAUAGUUUUUAAUUUUUUGUUUACUUAAUUAAUAUUAUUAGAAAAAAUAUAUGUAUUUUAAAAAUUAAUUUUCAAAUUUCUUUAAGCUUUUCAAACAUUUAGCAGGUAAGAAGUUUCCAAAUCUUUGUAAAGGGAUGAUGAUAGGAAUUCACGGGUUAGGUUUCGGUAUUAUCUAUACUUGAAUUCAAACCCAAAACAUUAUCAAUAUCCGACUCAAAACUCGAUGAGUGUAAUUUUGAAUAUCAUAAUCUAAUCCGAUCAAGUUUUAGUUAUCGAUUCAGAUACCCAUUACCUAACUGCUAUAAUCGAGUUUGCGGAAGCUAAACGUUCUGAUCAUCUACAUGAGAAUUUAUCACAAAAGGACUAUUUAGAAUUUUAGAUGACUUAACAAAUGUUUUUAUAAACUAGUAUUGAGAUAAGAUAAGUCUAAGAGAAUAUAUGGUCAUGCUAGCUAUACUAUACUAGAGCAGCGACUUAAAACAGAGAUAAUAAGGGAUUCGAUGGUUGGUCGAGAUCAAAUUUUUAUAAGAGAUUAUACAAGUUAUUUUCCUUUGGGAAGCCACUCAAUUAUUUAUUAGACAACUAGAUCUUUCAAAAUUAAGCCCAAAAAUGGUUCAGAUAAGUGUUUGCCCCAUUAGAAGGUAAGUGUUUGCCCCAUUAGAAGAGUCAUUCAUUUUUUUUUUAAUCAUAAUUGUUGUCUUUUUCGCUUUCACUUGCAAACUGAGCGAAUUAUCUUUUGUGAGAUGGAAUUAUCUUUGUAUCUCAAGACCAGUCUGGUUUGUCAGGUCUGACUUCAUGGAGCGAGCAAGCUAGCUAGCUGACGCAGGAGCCAAAGAAGAAUGAAACUUGGCAUAUCCCACAUUUUAAAAUAAGUUAUUGUUUUUUAAAAUAUUUUUUAUUUAAAAAUAUAUUAAAAUAAUUUAUCUAUUUUUAUUUUUUAAAAGUUAUGUUUAAUAUCAACAUAUUAAAAAAAUAUAUAAAACCAUAAAAAAUUAAUUUAAAAUAAAAAAUCCAAUAACAUUUUUUAAACACAAAACAAUCACUUUACAAUCUUGAAUUAUAAAGAAACCAUCAAAGCAAAUUGUACUCUGUCCCAACUUGUAUUUGUGUCGCUAAAUUUUAGUUAUUAAUAGGAAAAUGAAAAUAAAUAAAUAAACAAUAGUGUCAGAGGUUUUUACCACAAGUCUUGAUGUGCAUCAAUUACAAUAAAAUAAAUAAAUUGACAACUGAUUUGGCAACCAACCACAUGAUUUCUGACCAUAUGACAUCAUAAUUUUUUUAAAAAAAAAACAAUAAGGACUUUCUAAAAAAUACAUCUGAUUUUUAUUUGAUAGAAAAUUUAGAAUUGUUUCCGACUCAACCUAUAUACUGAAGGCACAAAGUAGAAGAAGCUCAGACCAAUGAGACAAGUGCUGAUGGCAAGUCCCAAGGAACAUUCUAAAACCGCGUACGUGCCCGUGAUGAAUGUGAUAAUCAUUGUACCCAUGGCAGUCAUGGUAAGCAACAUGGCACGCUGAAAUAAUAACCUAGGGGCUACCUUAAUUACCCUUUCAUGCUUCACCAAUUCCGAACCUUGAAUAUACGCAAUCCAAAAGUGGAUAAAGACAGCAGAAAUGGAGAGCACCAAUGAUAUUGUAUAUGAGAUGACAAAUACUAUAAAAGCAGUUUUUUUAGCUAGAAUUGCGGUGCCUUUAUUUGGACCUUGGUCGCUCUUGUAACCGCCAGGUAGGGUGAAUGCUGCUGCAAAUGUUACUGUUGCUAUCAGUGUCGCAACAACUAGAUGAGACUCUAUUGCUUUACUCAAAGCUUCCUCUUUGUUUUCCUUGUUUUCCUCAUCAUCUCCUUUCAAAAUAAAAGGACCGUGACCAAUCGGUCUAGUGCCAACAUCUUCAAGGUAUUCUAGGGUCUCUUUCUGCAAAGAAAUAAAUAUAUAUAUAUAUAUAUAUAUAUAUUGAGUAAAAUAUAUUAAGAUGUUAAAGUAUUUUUUAUUACUUUUUAAAAUAUUUUUCUAAGUUAAUUUUUUUAAAAUUUUAUUGAUAUUAUCUUGUAUUUAAAUUUUAUUAAUUAAAAUAAAAAUAGUGAGAUUUAAAUUUAUAAUUGGGUGAUCAAUAAGAUUGUAAUACUAUUUUUUUAAAACUAACUCACUCUAAAAAUUUAAACAAAUAAUCCAUCAUUUUUAGCUAUUUAACAUAUAUCAUAUAUCAACUUCCGAGCUUUUAUUUCCAAAACUAGUUUUUUUGCAAUCAAAUCCUUUUUGUUACUGUAUAUAUUAGCAGGUAACAAAAACUAAUUUGGUUGAAAUUAAACCGCAUGCUUUACAUUAGCCCAAUUAUCCCCAAAAAGAAAACUAAGAUGUGGACUUAAUUUUAUAUACCAUUAAUUCUACAUCAUUUCAUUCUAAAAUUAAUUUCCUAGGAGGAGUAAUCCAAUAUAUUAUUUUUUAUUGUUACUCUCCUUAAUUGCUUUUAAGAUUAUAUUAAGUUUCUAUUAAGUUUCUAUUAGAUUUUUCAACUUUAAUUCUCAGAUUUUUUAAAUUUUAAUUAAUUGUAUUUUUUUUCAUUCAUCUGUACUACUUUAUAAAACAGUUACAUGCGAUUUAUAUGCAUAAUCUGUUAUUGUAGAUGAAAAACUUAACAAAAUCAAUAAAAUGACUUCAUUUCAAAUAAAAAAAGAUUAUUAAGUUAUUCAGAUUACUUUAUUUUUAUAUUUAGUACUGCGAUAUAAUAGAGUGAAACUGAACAAAAGUUAUGUGGACCCGUUUGGUGGACAUGAUUAAGAUGCGGAGCUAAGAGAAUCUUAGAUGCAAAGUAAAACCAGUUUGCUGUGAUUUAAUUGAUUCAUUAAUGGAUAUAUAUUGUGAAUCACAACAGUUAAUUCUUAGAGGAUUGAUUACCUGUAUCUCUCCCAAAUUUCCUCUAUAAAUGUCGUCGACGCUUAGCUUACGCUUAUUAAGACCACAUAACUCCCCUGCUUUAUAUAAAACACUUAUCCAUUGCUUCUGCUCGCGCGCUAAAGCAGCAAUUAGAUGGAAGGGCGUGUUUCCUUUCUCAUCCUUCUUCGUUCCAAGUCUUGCAAGCUCUGGAAUCUCCAUACAUUUCUCGAAUACUCUGCUUCUUUUACUGGCCACAGCAUAGUGAAGGGCAUUCCAACCUCUGUUAUCAACUAGCUCACAACAAGCUGGGCAUCCAGAAACAAUCUCUUUCAUUGCGUUUACAUUUCCUUGAAUGGCAGCAAUGUGAAGAGCUGUUCUCUUCUUCUCUGUUUCAGCAAUGUAGGCCGCGGACGCAUCAUAUUCUAGUAGUACUUCCACUGUACGAGCAGACCAGUUAUAAAAGGCAGCGUAGUGAAGUGGUGACCAGCCGUUCUCAUCGGUUGUUUUCGUCAACGUUUUUUCUUUUUCUAACAAUUUUCUUGCUGUCCCUGAAACCAACAAAACAAGGAAUAAAAGUUAUCCUACAUGAACAACAGAGAUUUCACUUAUGCCCCGUUUAAUAAUUUCUUUUAGAAAACUGGUUUCUUGAAAAAUAAUUUUCUAAAAAAUAAAUUAUUUUUCAAUGUUCGGCAUCAGCAUGAAAAAUAAAUUGAAAAAUACUUUUUAAUAUUUGGCUAUGUCAUGGAAAAUAAAUUGAAAAAAAAAUUAUUAAUAUUUCUUUUCAAAUUUAUUAAAAUAAUGAGGACAAAAUCUUACAAAUUAAUUAAAAAGUUGAAUAAGAAUAAAAUUGAAAAAAAAAAUCUAAUUUCAUAAAUGAUCUCAAAUAAAAUAAAUAACAAUCAAGAUAAUGAAGAUCAAAUUUAAACUGAUAAAAAAGGUUCAAAAAUAAUCAAAUUUUAAAAAAUUAUAAUUUCAUAAAUUAUUUCAAAUAAAAUAAAUAGCUAUAAAAAAAAUAAGGACCAAAUUUGAUAGUUAAAAAAAUUCAAUUAAUGAUAAGAAAAAAACAAAUAAUAAUCAUAAAAAUAAGGACCAAAGUUGAUAUAAAAAUCAAAUUAAAUCAAAUUCUAAAAGAUGAAUUUUUUUUAAAAAUUGAAAACAAAAUAUAUAUUAAUCAAAAAUUUGAGGAUCAAAUUUGUUAUAAUCAGUAAAUAACAUGACAUUUCUAAAUUUUUUCACAACUUCUAGAAAGUGUUUUCCGCCAAAAAAAAAAGUUACUUUCAAACCAAGUCAAAAACAUUUUUAAUUGAAAAGUGUUUUUCUUUAAUCAAUUUUUUUAAUUAUAAACAAAUACAAAAAUUUUAAAAAUUAUUUUUAAAUAAUCACUUUUCACAAAACAAACGUAAUUAUUCCAUGUGAAUUACUAUAUAUGCAAUACUUAAACUCACAAAGUUUUUUUAUUUUAAAAAAACUAAUUAUGAAGCAAACUAGUACGGAUAUAUAAAAUCAAAUAUACGUGGCUUAUAAAUUAUAGUUUACACUAUUAUAUAUAAAAUAUUGAAUUCUCCAGACUUGAGCACAAAAUCCUACCAGCAUCUUCCACCCUGCUUGCCGCAUGUAGAGCAGUUCUACCAUUAGGGCCGCCAUAGUCCACUGAGAUGCUAUUUCCUAAGAUUUCAUCGACUACCUUUCCUCCUUCUUCGCUCCACAAGCCAAUGUAAGAACCCCUGGAAGCAGCUGCAAUAUAAAGUGGAGUUUCUCCAUGAACGUUGGCGGAAUAUGAAAACUCAGGGUCCUCUUUUGUCAAUAUUUUCACCACUUGGGCUUCGAUAUUUCGAGCUGCCACAUGCAACGCUGUAUCUUGCUCUUCAUUGGUCAUCCUCAACAUCUUUUUUGCUUCUGUUACUCCGCUCUCUGGAUCUGUAGGUAGAGCUUUGGCACGGUCAAUGAGGACUCUUACCACAUUGGAAUGGCCAUAUCUUGCUGCCAAAUGGAGUGGGAUUUCACCUUUCUUAUUGGCUUGGAAUAACAGUGGUGGACACAUUUCAAGAAUUAUAUCAACAAAAUCAGUGAAUUCCGGUUCACUGCUUUGGUUUCCUAAGUAGACAUGAAGAAUGGUGUUCUCGUCUGGAGUCAAUAAAUGAUCAAGGGAGGUUUGAUAUUUCUCAAAGGGAUCGAUAUUGCCUGCUUCUGCAGCUUUGAACAAGACAGUAUCCAUAUAGGGCGGCAUACUAUUUUGUAGCUUAGAGAAACUCACUAAAUGAAAAGUAAACAAA